UUGAAGAGUUUGAUCAUGGCUCAGAUUGAACGCUGGCGGCAGGCCUAACACAUGCAAGUCGAACGGUAACAGGAAGCAGCUUGCUGCUUUGCUGACGAGUGGCGGACGGGUGAGUAAUGUCUGGGAAACUGCCUGAUGGAGGGGGAUAACUACUGGAAACGGUAGCUAAUACCGCAUAACGUCGCAAGACCAAAGAGGGGGACCUUAGGGCCUCUUGCCAUCGGAUGUGCCCAGAUGGGAUUAGCUAGUAGGUGGGGUAACGGCUCACCUAGGCGACGAUCCCUAGCUGGUCUGAGAGGAUGACCAGCCACACUGGAACUGAGACACGGUCCAGACUCCUACGGGAGGCAGCAGUGGGGAAUAUUGCACAAUGGGCGCAAGCCUGAUGCAGCCAUGCCGCGUGUAUGAAGAAGGCCUUCGGGUUGUAAAGUACUUUCAGCGGGGAGGAAGGGAGUAAAGUUAAUACCUUUGCUCAUUGACGUUACCCGCAGAAGAAGCACCGGCUAACUCCGUGCCAGCAGCCGCGGUAAUACGGAGGGUGCAAGCGUUAAUCGGAAUUACUGGGCGUAAAGCGCACGCAGGCGGUUUGUUAAGUCAGAUGUGAAAUCCCCGGGCUCAACCUGGGAACUGCAUCUGAUACUGGCAAGCUUGAGUCUCGUAGAGGGGGUAGAAUUCCGGUGUAGCGGUGAAAUGCGUAGAGAUCUGGAGGAAUACCGGUGGCGAAGGCGGCCCCUGGACGAAGACUGACGCUCAGGUGCGAAAGCGUGGGGAGCAAACAGGAUUAGAUACCCUGGUAGUCCACGCCGUAAACGAUGUCGACUUGGAGGUUGUGCCCUUGAGGCGUGGCUUCCGGAGCUAACGCGUUAAGUCGACCGCCUGGGGAGUACGGCCGCAAGGUUAAAACUCAAAUGAAUUGACGGGGCCCGCACAAGCGGUGGAGCAUGUGGUUUAAUUCGAUGCAACGCGAAGAACCUUACCUGGUCUUGACAUCCACGGAAGUUUUCAGAGAUGAGAAUGUGCCUUCGGGAACCGUGAGACAGGUGCUGCAUGGCUGUCGUCAGCUCGUGUUGUGAAAUGUUGGGUUAAGUCCCGCAACGAGCGCAACCCUUAUCCUUUGUUGCCAGCGGUCCGGCCGGGAACUCAAAGGAGACUGCCAGUGAUAAACUGGAGGAAGGUGGGGAUGACGUCAAGUCAUCAUGGCCCUUACGACCAGGGCUACACACGUGCUACAAUGGCGCAUACAAAGAGAAGCGACCUCGCGAGAGCAAGCGGACCUCAUAAAGUGCGUCGUAGUCCGGAUUGAGUCUGCAACUCGACUCCAUGAAGUCGGAAUCGCUAGUAAUCGUGGAUCAGAAUGCCACGGUGAAUACGUUCCCGGGCCUUGUACACACCGCCCGUCACACCAUGGGAGUGGGUUGCAAAAGAAGUAGGUAGCUUAACCUUCGGGAGGGCGCUUACCACUUUGUGAUUCAUGACUGGGGUGAAGUCGUAACAAGGUAACCGUAGGGGAACCUGCGGUUGGAUCACCUCCUU
rnacentral:rRNA from 1 species